rnacentral:lncRNA from 1 species
UUUUCGGACGAUCUGUGAGAGCAAAGCAGACAAGAUGUAGGCAGGGGACUGAUAGUUCUGGUGGCGGAAUCCACCACUGGAAGAUUUCGAACAUAGAAUAGUUGAUGAAUUUAGGAUGAUAGAGUCCGUGCCCAGCGAUUGUGUGAUCUGUUGAUUCUAAACUAAGAUUGUCGGGUGUAUUCCAUUCUGCAACGAUUCAACUGAGCGCCAGUGAAAGAUAUAGAAUCCUUUGUGUAUACGCCAGGAGAAGUAUAGUUGGGAUAUAUGGUGGUUCUGCUUUAUUUCUUUGAGGAUCCUCUACACUCAGUUACACCAUGGUUUCAUCAGUUAUCAUCCCAUCAACAGUAUGUAUUUUACUUCAAAAUGAUCCAAACUUAUAUUUUAACCAAACACGGGGGAAUUUCAUUGCUGCCACAUCUAGCAGACGGCACAAAAUAGCACCUGGUUGGAGGAACUAAUUAGGGAUGUUUCUGCACAACGAAUCAGAAGAAUGAAAAGACGUGGAAACCUCUCCUGUCUGAAAUUCAAGCUCACACUCCUGUCCUCUGUUCCUUUCCUUAAAGCUCCACUGGAUGCGGGACUAUUUUUCAAAAUUAAAGUGACCAACACUGGAGAUAAAGUAGUUGGGAUUAAACCUGAAGGCUUAUUUCACCACACUAAAGGAAAGAAAGACCACUGUAUUGUGUCUUACGAAGGCCAUGGUAGGAGGAUGGAGUGUCUGCUGAUCUAUAUGAACAAGGAGCGGCUGGAAAACCAGAAACGUAACUUCUGGAAGUUGGAGCUAUCCAUCUGGCUUACUUACUGAGAACUGUAGGCACCCGCACUGCAAGCAUUAUUUAUAUACUAAGUAAUGCAUUUAAGAUUUAUGAGGAAUGAGAAGUCACACCACACCUAGAAGGGUGUGAACACGGAAUGCCUGCACUCAGGGAGAGAUCUGCGUCAGCUGUAUUUUUGAUCAAAAGUUGUUCCCAUAGUGACAACACUCUCCCCCUUAUCAGUAUUUCUUCUUGUUACUUGGUUACCAAAAUAUGAAAUGAAUACUGAAUGCAGGUCAUGAGCAUGAGAGCGAAUAUAAAGCUAACUAGUUAUCUAGGUCUAACUCUGUCAUGAUUUUUCUUUAUAUUUUUGGUGGUGGUUAAAUACAUAAAUAUAUUCAGUGGUCUAAGUAUAGAACCCAAUAUGAAGCCCACAGCCUCCAAAUGCCUAUUGUAACUUCCCAGAAGUUCACUGAGGUAUACAAACCUUAGGUCUAAUAAAUUCACUGUGUAAUUUUUUUAUUUACAUAAUUGUUAAAAUAAAAUUUAUUAAAAUGUA